GUCAGGCUUCGCGUCGCCAGCACAGCGGCGGCAGCGGUGGAGGAACGGUUGCGGAAGUUUUUUCCUUCGUGCAGCACUAGCGGCCAUAUCUUCUGCGUGCUCCUGGAGACCCUGGUGGACGGUUCCAAGGAGUGAUGGCCAACGCACCUGUUUGUCCUUGAAAUCGGCACUGCACCGACAUUGUCCAAUACCAGGAGCAGUACCUUCUGGGCAAAACGUGCCGGGCCCUUGAAGGAAUCGACGAUUGCGCUGCCGCAGGGCAUGGAAUCAAAAGACCGGACGCAGCCCAGUGGCCCAGAGUGCGGUUCGACAAGGUGGACAAUGCGGACACCGGCGAUGACUCCGUGCAUGAACGGUAGAAAACAUGAAUCGCAAACCGAAACAUGCAUCCCCGAACAAACUCGGGGUUCUAUAACACAUUUAGAAAACGGAACCGCCCUGCGACAACGCACGUUCGCCGAUAAGGGCGCGCCUUCUACUAAUGGCGCACCGAGGGCCUCGAAAACUUGCGACCGAAAAUACACGAGGUGUAGGACGAUGAAGCAGCCGCCACAGAAGAUAAGCGCAGAAGAGCCUGAGACGACGGAUGACGACUCAAGCAGUGAGGAGCUGGACUUCCAGUGGGCUCGCCACCGGUACCAAGGCGCUGGUCCUGGUAUCAGCGGCGAACUGGAGCCCAAACUGGCCGUUGUCACCGUUGGACCGUACAAACCAGACAUAGAAGCUCAAAUACUGGAUGUUUGGACAGCCGUAAACGGCUUUUUAAUGGCACUACUGCUGGUUGUGUUGGUCUUGUUUGUGUCGGUUCUCCUAAUGAAGUUGUUUUCAAUAGUAGUACACAACAGUCGUAGUCAGGGUGCCAUCUAAUACUGCCAUAUUUUCCACCACCAAUGAUUUG